rnacentral:rRNA from 1 species
AGACGGAGGGGGCUAGCGUUGUUCGGAAUUACUGGGCGUAAAGCGCGCGUAGGCGGAUUGAUCAGUCAGAGGUGAAAUCCCAGGGCUCAACCCUGGAACUGCCUUUGAUACUGUCAGUCUUGAGUUCGAGAGAGGUGAGUGGAAUUCCGAGUGUAGAGGUGAAAUUCGUAGAUAUUCGGAGGAACACCAGUGGCGAAGGCGGCUCACUGGCUCGAUACUGACGCUGAGGUGCGAAAGCGUGGGGAGCAAACAGGAUUAGAAACCCCGGUAGUCC